AUUGAACGCUGGCGGCAGGCUUAACACAUGCAAGUCGAGCGGGGGAAGGUAGCUUGCUACUGGACCUAGCGGCGGACGGGUGAGUAAUGCUUAGGAAUCUGCCUAUUAGUGGGGGACAACAUCUCGAAAGGGAUGCUAAUACCGCAUACGUCCUACGGGAGAAAGCAGGGGAUCUUCGGACCUUGCGCUAAUAGAUGAGCCUAAGUCGGAUUAGCUAGUUGGUGGGGUAAAGGCCUACCAAGGCGACGAUCUGUAGCGGGUCUGAGAGGAUGAUCCGCCACACUGGGACUGAGACACGGCCCAGACUCCUACGGGAGGCAGCAGUGGGGAAUAUUGGACAAUGGGGGGAACCCUGAUCCAGCCAUGCCGCGUGUGUGAAGAAGGCCUUAUGGUUGUAAAGCACUUUAAGCGAGGAGGAGGCUACUUUAGUUAAUACCUAGAGAUAGUGGACGUUACUCGCGGAAUAAGCACCGGCUAACUCUGUGCCAGCAGCCGCGGUAAUACAGAGGGUGCGAGCGUUAAUCGGAUUUACUGGGCGUAAAGCGUGCGUAGGCGGCUUAUUAAGUCGGAUGUGAAAUCCCCGAGCUUAACUUGGGAAUUGCAUUCGAUACUGGUGAGCUAGAGUAUGGGAGAGGAUGGUAGAAUUCCAGGUGUAGCGGUGAAAUGCGUAGAGAUCUGGAGGAAUACCGAUGGCGAAAGCAGCCAUCUGGCCUAAUACUGACGC
rnacentral:rRNA from 1 species